rnacentral:lncRNA from 1 species
AAUGUCCCGUGCAUGCCACUGAACUAGCAUCUGUGUGACAGUGGUCUACCCGCAGUUGUUCCAUCGUGUCAAUAUUUUUCGCGUCCCGGCCACGUCAAUCUCCACAAGGAGCUGUCCUCAAACAGAGACACUGGCUGCCUGUUCUCAGGAAGACAUCAAGGUGACAAUACUGGAAAUCUCCA